AUUAUGACACUAAUAAUAAUGUAGAAGAAAGCUUCAUGUGUCCAGCCAGGUUCCUGCCCUCACCCUGCACCCGAAGAUGCCCUUCAGGACAAACCAAAAUCGCGCCUAAGCAGGGUGAUCGCCGGUCCUGCGGCAGGUUUGACAAACUCUCGGAGAAGACAGCCACCUGCCAGAAUGCACCUGACUCCAUCUCGCCCGGGAGCCCCGAAGCGAGGCUCGGCCGGUGA
rnacentral:lncRNA from 1 species